AUCCAGCUGACGAAUCCCAAUUAGGAGGGAACGCUCGUCCUGGAU
rfam:Schistosoma rodhaini strain Burundi genome assembly, scaffold: SROB_scaffold0000039